rnacentral:rRNA from 1 species
UGGGGAAUAUUGGACAAUGGGCGCAAGCCUGAUCCAGCCAUGCCGCGUGAGUGAUGAAGGCCCUAGGGUUGUAAAGCUCUUUCACCGGUGAAGAUAAUGACGGUAACCGGAGAAGAAGCCCCGGCUAACUUCGUGCCAGCAGCCGCGGUAAUACGAAGGGGGCUAGCGUUGUUCGGAUUUACUGGGCGUAAAGCGCACGUAGGCGGACUUUUAAGUCAGGGGUGAAAUCCCGGGGCUCAACCCCGGAACUGCCUUUGAUACUGGAAGUCGUGAGUAUGGUAGAGGUGAGUGGAAGUCCGAGUGUAGAGGUGAAAUUCGUAGAUAUUCGGAGGAAAACCAGUGGCGAAGGCGGCUCACUGGACCAUUACUGACGCUGAGGUGCGAAAGCGUGGGGAGCAAACAGG